rnacentral:rRNA from 1 species
AAGUAGUAUAUUUUAAAUAAAACUAAUUUAUUUUGGCGGCAUUUCAUCUAAUUAGAGGAAUUUGUCCUUUAAUCGAUAAUCCGCGCUAAAUUUCACUUUAAUCAAUAAUUUAUAUACCGCCAUCUUAAGAAUUAAUUAAAAAAUAUUAUUCAAAAAAAAAAAUAUAAAAUGUUAGGUCAAGGUGUAAUCUAUAUUAAAGAAAUAGAUGAAUUACAUUAAAAAAAAUUUAAAGACUAAAUAUUAAAAAUAUUAACAAAUAAGAAUUUAAAAGUAAUAUUAAAAAUAUUAUUAUAAUAUGAUUAAAAAAAGAAAUGUGC